rnacentral:rRNA from 1 species
GAUGAACGCUAGCGGGAGGCCUAACACAUGCAAGCCGAGCGGUAUUUGUUCUUCGGAACAGAGAGAGCGGCGCACGGGUGCGGAACACGUGUGCAACCUGCCUUUAUCUGGGGGAUAGCCUUUCGAAAGGAAGAUUAAUACCCCAUAAUAUAUUGAGUGGCAUCAUUUGAUAUUGAAAACUCCGGUGGAUAGAGAUGGGCACGCGCAAGAUUAGAUAGUUGGUGAGGUAACGGCUCACCAAGUCAAUGAUCUUUAGGGAGCCUGAGAGGGUGAUCCCCCACACUGGUACUGCGACACGGACCAGACUCCUACGGGAGGCAGCAGUGAGGAAGAUUGGGCGAGGGGUUAGCGCCUGAUCCAGCCAUCCCGCGUGAAGGACGACGGCCCUAUGGGUUGUAAACUUCUUUUGUAUAGGGAUAAACCUACUCUCGUGAGAGUAGCUGAAGGUACUAUACGAAUAAGCACCGGCUAACUCCGUG